UACAGAGGGGGCAAGCGUUGUUCGGAAUUACUGGGCGUAAAGGGCGCGUAGGCGGCCUUCUAAGUCGAACGUGAAAUCCCCGGGCUCAACCCGGGAACUGCGUCCGAGACUGGAAGGCUUGAAUCCGGGAGAGGGAUGUGGAAUUCCAGGUGUAGCGGUGAAAUGCGUAGAUAUCUGGAGGAACACCGGUGGCGAAGGCGGCAUCCUGGACCGGUAUUGACGCUGAGGCGCGAAAGCCAGGGGAGCAAACGGG
rnacentral:rRNA from 1 species